ensembl:lncRNA
UAAGUUAGUAGUGACCUUACCUAGGUCAGGCAGAAAGUGUGUUGCCUUAAGCCAUCACAUUUAUUUUCUUGAAUUUUAAGUUUUUGACAAUAAUCUAGUUAAUUAUAAAAGUUAAUAAUUGCUUUACAGUUUACAAAAUAAUUUGUUAAAAUCGUUUCAUCCGUUUGUGUCACGUGAUGACGUUACUUCCUGUUUUGUUACUUCCUGGUUGGUAUGUAAAAGAAUGAAGUAAACAAGGCAAGCAGAGCUGAAAACAAUCCAAGCCAAUCUGCUAAGAAAGAUCAUAGAAGCAGUGUCUUUUCACCACUCAAUGUCUUUGAAGCAGAACUAACAUACUUGUUGUCUCCUUGGAUCAAAGAGGACACCAGAUUCUCCUUCAGCUCAUCAUACUCGGACUGGAGGAUGACGUGAGCCUCCCACUCUCGCUCACAUUCCUAAAACGCACACAUGAGGGAAAAGAAGUUCAAACUCGAGUGCUUAAUGUUAACAUAUGCAAUGGUUAACUUCUG